CACGUAGGGCGCAAGCGUUGUCCGGAAUUAUUGGGCGUAAAGAGCUCGUAGGCGGUCUGUUACGUCUGCUGUGAAAACCCGGGGCUUAACCCUGGGCUUGCAGUGGAUACGGGCAGACUAGAGGCAGGUAGGGGAGAAUGGAAUUCCCGGUGUAGCGGUGAAAUGCGCAGAUAUCGGGAGGAACACCGGUGGCGAAGGCGGUUCUCUGGGCCUGACCUGACGCUGAGGAGCGAAAGCCUGGGGAGCGAACAGG
rnacentral:rRNA from 1 species